rnacentral:tRNA from 1 species
CAGUAAAUAGUUUAAAUUAAAAUAUUAAUUUUGGAGAUUAAAGUUAAGUAUUACUUUUUACUGA